rnacentral:rRNA from 1 species
AUACGGAGGAUGCAAGCGUUAUCCGGAUUUAUUGGGUUUAAAGGGUGCGUAGGCGGAUGAUUAAGCGUGAGGUGAAAUGCCACUGCUCAACAGUGGAACUGCCUCGCGAACUGGUUGUCUUGAAUGCUCCUGCCGUGGGAGGAAUGUGUGGUGUAGCGGUGAAAUGCAUAGAGAUCACACAGAACACCGAUUGCGAAGGCAUCUCGCGAAGGGGUGAUUGACGCUGAGGCACGAAAGCGUGGGGAUCAAACAGGAUUAGAUGCCCUGGGAGACCACGCAGUAAACGAUGAUAACUAACCGCUGGGUCGUAGUGAUUCAGUGGCCAAGCGAAAGCGAUAAGUUAUCCACCUGGGGAGUACGACCGCAAGGUUGAAACUCAAAUGAAUUGACGGGG